rnacentral:rRNA from 1 species
UACGUAGGGUGCAAGCGUUAAUCGGAAUUACUGGGCGUAAAGCGUGCGCAGGCGGUUAUGUAAGACAGAUGUGAAAUCCCCAGGCUUAACCUGGGAACUGCAUUCGAGACUGCAUAGCUAGAGUAUGGGAGAGGGAAGUGGAAUUUCAGGUGUAGCGGUGAAAUGCGUAGAUAUCUGAAGGAACAUCAGUGGCGAAAGCGACUUCCUGGACCAAUACUGACGCUCAUGUGCGAAAGCGUGGGGAGCAAACAGG